GAAAAGGAUUUAUUCGCUUCAGGAUGGACUCGCGUCCAAUUAGCUAGUUGGUGAGGUAACGGCCCACCAAGGCGACGAUUGGUAGCCGGACUGAGAGGUUGAACGGCCACAUUGGGACUGAGACACGGCCCAGACUCCUACGGGAGGCAGCAGUGGGGGAUAUUGCACAAUGGGGGAAACCCUGAUGCAGCGACGCCGCGUGGAGGAAGAAGGUUUUCGGAUUGUAAACUCCUGUCGUUAGGGACGAUAAUGACGGUACCUAACAAGAAAGCACCGGCUAACUACGUGCCAGCAGCCGCGGUAAAACGUAGGGUGCAAGCGUUGUCCGGAAUUACUGGGUGUAAAGGGAGCGCAGGCGGGAAGACAAGUUGGAAGUGAAAACCAUGGGCUCAACCCAUGAAUUGCUUUCAAAACUGUUUUUCUUGAGUAGUGCAGAGGUAGAUGGAAUUCCCGGUGUAGCGGUGGAAUGCGUAGAUAUCGGGAGGAACACCAGUGGCGAAGGCGGUCUACUGGGCACCAACUGACGCUGAGGCUCGAAAGCAUGGGUAGCAAACAGGAUUAGAUACCCUGGUAGUCCAUGCCGUAAACGAUGAUUACUAGGUGUUGGGGGAUUGACCCCCUCAGUGCC
rnacentral:rRNA from 1 species